CGCAUACUAAAUGAGUAGGUACUACAUUUGAAUUUGAACGUACUUCCCGACCGUUAAAACAGUACGUUCUAUAUAGUAUGAAUAAGGGUAGUAUGAAUGGAAUUCGGACGUACUACAUCCGCCAUGUUAAUGUUGUCACGUGUCAUGCGUCGUCACAACAGCACGAAAAUUUAAAGGGCCUGCUCUACUCCGCUUUCAUCAGCAAUGUUUUUUAUUAAUGCUUACCGCUUUCAUCGUUGUUUUAACGUCGAUUCAAUCAACAGCUCAAAGGAGGCGUCGGUCAGCUGCUCGCAGAUCACGCUUUUCAACAGCUUGUUAAAUAUGUCAAAGUAUAAUCACCUAAUGUAUUUAGCUAGGAAAUUUUACCUCAGAAUAAAAAUACAUCUGUUAAUAUCACGACAGAGGCUGAUUUGAAGCAACGAAAUUAAAUAAUUUUUUGUUAAAAAUGAAUGCAUAUAAAAAUACACGAGAAACAAAAGACAUGAAUCAAUAAACAAACUUGAAUACAUUAUAUAUAAAUAAAUAAUGUGUAGACAGAGAGGGCGAAAGAAAUACACAACACUAAAUAUUAUAUACAAUAUAUACAAAUAAAUACAAUGAUAAUAUACAUUCUAAAAAAAAAACUACAAACUGUGAGCCCUAUAAACUACUGCCACCUGAAUGUUGCUGUCCGUUAAGUUUUCUAAUCUCAUUAAACUGCUUAACAACGAACGUCUCCGUUAAAUAAAACAGUGUUAACAAGCAGAUGUAACGUUAUCUCGACCUGUUCGUUAGCUUGAUGUGCUGUCAGUAAUAAUGAGUAAACAUCUUUUUACAGCCAACUCUUAAUCUUCUGAUUACAUUGUUUAAACUUUCAAUAAGUCAGCCGUUUACGUACAUUAUAUUAAACAAGUGCAAUUUAACCACAGUAAACGUUUUUCCCUGAGGUACUUAAUGACUUGAAUGAGCUGCAUAUCGCCGCUUUCCGCCAUUUUUGAAUAUGAAGAAUCCUCUCCUGUGGCAUCACGGGAUAGCGCAGCGUCCAUCGAAUGCCUACUACAGAAUUCGGGCGGAAGCAGUAGGUCAUCCGGGUAUUUCUCGCCUACUGUUUUUCGAAUACUAUGAAUUCGGACAUACUACUCGCCUCGCAUACUGUUUUUCGCAUACUAUAUAGUAGGGAAGUAUGCGAUUUCGGACGCAGCCACAGUGUUCCAAACGCUACUGAAAGUUGCUGUGUGAACGAGACAUUUCGAGACUCACACCUGUCCCUGCCUCGCGUGUGUGUUGAUGUGCGUGUGUGUGAGCGGUUCUCUCCAGGGUCACGCGUGUUUACGGAUUGGUCGUUCUUCUAAUUACCAGCAUGUCUGAGAGCUAAGUGAUGUAUGUUAUGGUCAUUAGUCCAUGUGGAUUAGCUUCAGACACUCUGGAGUGUGUCAGACCCUGAUUAGUGUGGAUUACAUCCCACCUGAUUCAGGAUGGAAACAUCAAUGGAGAUAUCUGGCAGUUUUAUGAGGUAAUGCUCUUGCAAUAGUAAAAUCCCUUUCAUACCAAUUCGAACUGUCAUGCUGGUAAAUGUAGCCAUGUUCUCAUCCCCAACUCAAUGUCGGAGCCGCCGAAGCGGAGCGUCAUGAUGAAUGAAGCCGGCAAUGACCCAGAAUUUCGUUUCCAGUUUAAAUUACAUUAUGAAGAAACAACGCAACAUGCCAGAAAAAGAUCAGCGAUCAGCUUUGGGGAAAAAAUUGAAUGCUUAGAUCAGAUUUUGAUUUUAAUCGUCCGGUGAUGCAUGCAAUGCCAUUUGGCUGAACCAGGAUGUAACAGAGAUUCAGAAAGAUCAGAGGUCACCCCUGCAGCUUUUCAAUCUCUACGAACAUCCAGUCAAGAAGAAAGAAAGCAGCGCAUUAUCAGUCUCAUCUUCAUAAUGAAAUCAGUCUGUUUUGGU